rnacentral:rRNA from 1 species
UACAGAGGGGGCAAGCGUUGUUCGGAAUUACUGGGCGUAAAGGGCGCGUAGGCGGCCGCCUAAGUCAGACGUGAAAUCCCUCGGCUCAACCGGGGAACUGCGUCUGAUACUGGGUGGCUUGAAUUCGGGAGAGGGAUGCGGAAUUCCAGGUGUAGCGGUGAAAUGCGUAGAUAUCUGGAGGAACACCGGUGGCGAAGGCGGCAGUCCUGGACCGAGAUUGACGCGUGAGGCGCGAAAGCCAGGGGAGCAAAGCGGGGAU